rfam:Myotis davidii contig191920, whole genome shotgun sequence.
GGUGGUUCUCAUGUGAUGCACUCCAGAAUCAGGCUCCCUUCUCUCUGGUUCCAGGGUGCAUGACCCGAGAACCGCC